rnacentral:rRNA from 1 species
AGGGUGUAAACGCUGCAGACUUGGUGUUGGAGGCCCUUUGGGGGCGAUUCAGUGCCGGAGAGAAGUUGUUAAGUCUGCUACUUGGGGAGUACGUCCGCAAGGAUGAAACUUAAAGGAAUUGGCGGGGGAGCACCACAACGGGUGGAGCCUGCGGUUUAAUUUGGACUCAACGCCGGAAAUCUCACCGGAUAGGACAGACAUAUGAUAGUCGGGCUGAAGACUCUACUUGAUGAUCUGAGAGGUGGUGCAUGGCGGUCAGUGACU